AUUACUUUUUCAAUAUAAAAACAAAAAGCAUUUCAAAAACAGAGGUAUAUGUACAUAUGUAUACAGUGUUAGGUACAUAGACUUCAAAUACUGGUUAAUUAAUAUGUCCAUUGCACUUUAUCAUCAUAAGUGGUUUAAAUGUGAUGCCAUUAAGAGAACAGCGAUCAGUUCUGUACACCUUUCCGGCAAUACUUAAAAGCCUUUCUACAGGAGCUUAUGUGUGGGAAAUGGCUAAAUACUUGAUCGCUGUAUUAGCCAAAAAAGAAAGGCACACUGAAUUUGACUUCCAUUAUUCCAGUGCAUUGAUUGAAAUUUCUUCAC
rnacentral:lncRNA from 1 species